GACGGAAGGUGCAAGCGUUGCUCGGAAUCACGUGGGCGUAAAGGGUGGCGUAGGCGGCCGUGACAACGGCUGGCGUGAAAGCCCCGGGCUCAGCCCCGGGAAGUGCGCUCGAAACGUGCGCGGCUUCGAGUGCCGGGAGGGGAGAGGUGGAAUUCCUGGGUGUAGCGGUGAAAUGCGUAGAUAUCAGGAGGAAUACCCGGUGGCGAAAGCGACUCUCUGGACGGCAACUGACGCUGAGGCACGAAAGCGUGGGGAGCAAACAGG
rnacentral:rRNA from 1 species